rnacentral:tRNA from 1 species
GCCCGCAUAGCUCAGUUGGCAGAGCGAUGCUUUCGUAAAGCAAAGGUCGUGGGUUCGAUUCCCUCUGCGGGCU